GUGAUCGUAGCUCAGUUGGUAGAGCCCCGGAUUGUGGUUCCGGCCGUCGUGGGUUCGAGUCCCAUCGGUCACCCCA
rnacentral:tRNA from 2 species